rnacentral:lncRNA from 1 species
CCCUAAUAAACCUGCUCUAAGAAAACAAGAUUUGAGUCGGCAAAGACUACUUGUGUACGAAAAAACUACAAUCAAGUACCAGUAAAAUCUUAUGAAGGAGAAUUUCUAGAAUUCAGUCUUUGAAUCUUUCUUUGUUUGUUCCCAUAUCUAUUGUAACUCUCAUCCAUGAGGAUUCUGUUUCUGGUUACUAAUAUGAGAUAUGCCAUGGAUGUUUAAAAAUAAACUUAUUUACAAUAUAUGAUUGUGAAAUGGAAAUUUUGGGAUAUCAAUGUCGUCUCUC